GAUGAACGCUGGCGACAUGCCUAACACAUGCAAGUCGAUCGGUAAGGCUCUUCGGAGUACACGAGAGGCGGACGGCUGAGUAACGCGUAGGAACACACCCUGCAGUGAGGGAUAAGACACCGAAAGGUGUUCUAAUACCGCAUACGGUCUUCGGAUUAAAGCAUUUAUGCGCUGAAGGAGUGGCCUGCGUCAUAUUAGAUAGUUGGUGAGGUAAUGGCUCACCAAGUCGAUGAUGUGUAGCUGGUCUGAGAGGAUGAUCAGCCAGACUGGAACUGAGACACGGUACAGACUCCUACGGGAGGCAGCAGUGAGGAAUAUUUCACAAUGAGCGAAAGCUUGAUGGAGCAAUGCCGCGUGCAGGAUGAAGGCCCUCGGGUUGUAAACUGCUUUUAUAAGAGAAGAUUAUGACGGUAACUUAUGAAUAAGGGACGGCUAACUACGUG
rnacentral:rRNA from 1 species